rnacentral:miRNA from 1 species
CGAAACGUUGAGGUAUAUGUGGAC